AGCGCCACAGCGGCUCCCUCAGCUCCCCGGGGCCUCAGCAUGGCGGCCACCACGGCGGGGGCAGCCCCUGCCGACCCUCGUCCUCGGCCGGCUCCCAGGCCGCCCCCGACUCAGUAAAACAGCGCCACGGACCGUUCUGCCUCAGCAACCCGGGACAUGUCGCUCUCGGGUCUCCUCAGCCUUGGGGUGCCGCCUCCCACCUCAGGAGCAACCUACCCCGCCGCCCUGCCCUCAGCCUGGACGCUUCAGCCAAUCGGAGUGCGGCCCUCAUUAAUUACCCACCACCCUGCCGAGAGCGGCCACGCUAUUGGCUAGUGUGUUCAGAAAGGGGCGUGGCCGCACCGAGGCUCCGGCCCAACCACCGGGCACGAGAAGGAGCGCGCGCAGAGGGAGGGAGUUCGGUUGAAGCAGCGGUUCCAUGCGGAAGUGAUGAAGCCAGGCCAGGAGGUAGCUAUCUGUAGCUGAGGACAGCAGCCAGUCCCUGUACCUGCUGAGCUACCUUGCCACCCCAAAAGCACUGUGUGAGCAUGGAGCACAUGGCUGGCUAAGUGUCAAUAAAUAAGUCUUAAGUGUUUGGAGGCACCGAGACUUGGAUUCAAA